GGUUAAGCGACUAAGCGUACACGGUGGAUGCCCUGGCAGUCAGAGGCGAUGAAGGACGUGCUAAUCUGCGAAAAGCGUCGGUAAGGUGAUAUGAACCGUUAUAACCGGCGAUGUCCGAAUGGGGAAACCCAGUGCAAUUCGUUGCACUAUCGUUAACUGAAUACAUAGGUUAACGAGGCGAACCGGGGGAACUGAAACAUCUAAGUACCCCGAGGAAAAGAAAUCAACCGAGAUUCCCCCAGUAGCGGCGAGCGAACGGGGAGCAGCCCAGAGUCUGAAUCAGCUUGUGUGUUAGUGGAACGGUCUGGAAAGUCCGACGGUACAGGGUGAUAGUCCCGUACACCAAAAUGCACAGGNUGUGAACUCGAAGAGUAGGGCGGGACACGUGGUAUCCUGUCUGAAUAUGGGGGGACCAUCCUCCAAGGCUAAAUACUCCUGACUGACCGAUAGUGAACCAGUACCGUGAGGGAAAGGCGAAAAGAACCCCGGCGAGGGGAGUGAAAAAGAACCUGAAACCGUGUACGUACAAGCAGUGGGAGCACCUUCGGGUGUGACUGCGUACCUUUUGUAUAAUGGGUCAGCGACUUAUAUUCUGUAGCAAGGUUAACCGUAUAGGGGAGCCGCAGGGAAACCGAGUCUUAACUGGGCGUUAAGUUGCAGGGUAUAGACCCGAAACCCGGUGAUCUAGCCAUGGGCAGGUUGAAGGUUGGGUAACACUAACUGGAGGACCGAACCGACUAAUGUUGAAAAAUUAGCGGAUGACUUGUGGCUGGGGGUGAAAGGCCAAUCAAACCGGGAGAUAGCUGGUUCUCCCCGAAAGCUAUUUAGGUAGCGCCUCGUGAACUCAUCUUCGGGGGUAGAGCACUGUUUCGGCUAGGGGGUCAUCCCGACUUACCAACCCGAUGCAAACUACGAAUACCGAAGAAUGUUAUCACGGGAGACACACGGCGGGUGCUAACGUCCGUCGUGAAGAGGGAAACAACCCAGACCGCCAGCUAAGGUCCCAAAGUCAUGGUUAAGUGGGAAACGAUGUGGGAAGGCACAGACAGCCAGGAUGUUGGCUUAGAAGCAGCCAUCAUUUAAAGAAAGCGUAAUAGCUCACUGGUCGAGUCGGCCUGCGCGGAAGAUGUAACGGGGCUAAACCAUGCACCGAAGCUGCGGCAGCGACACUAUGUGUUGUUGGGUAGGGGAGCGUUCUGUAAGCCUGCGAAGGUGUGCUGUGAGGCAUGCUGGAGGUAUCAGAAGUGCGAAUGCUGACAUAAGUAACGAUAAAGCGGGUGAAAAGCCCGCUCGCCGGAAGACCAAGGGUUCCUGUCCAACGUUAAUCGGGGCAGGGUGAGUCGACCCCUAAGGCGAGGCCGAAAGGCGUAGUCGAUGGGAAACAGGUUAAUAUUCCUGUACUUGGUGUUACUGCGAAGGGGGGACGGAGAAGGCUAUGUUAGCCGGGCGACGGUUGUCCCGGUUUAAGCAUGUAGGCUGAUUGUCCAGGCAAAUCCGGAUAAUCAAGGCUGAGGUGUGAUGACGAGGCACUACGGUGCUGAAGUAACAAAUGCCCUGCUUCCAGGAAAAGCCUCUAAGCAUCAGGUAACAUCAAAUCGUACCCCAAACCGACACAGGUGGUCAGGUAGAGAAUACCAAGGCGCUUGAGAGAACUCGGGUGAAGGAACUAGGCAAAAUGGUGCCGUAACUUCGGGAGAAGGCACGCUGGUGUGUAGGUGAAGUCCCUGCGGAUGGAGCUGAGACCAGUCGAAGAUACCAGCUGGCUGCAACUGUUUAUUAAAAACACAGCACUGUGCAAACACGAAAGUGGACGUAUACGGUGUGACGCCUGCCCGGUGCCGGAAGGUUAAUUGAUGGGGUUAUCCGUAAGGAGAAGCUCUUGAUCGAAGCCCCGGUAAACGGCGGCCGUAACUAUAACGGUCCUAAGGUAGCGAAAUUCCUUGUCGGGUAAGUUCCGACCUGCACGAAUGGCGUAAUGAUGGCCAGGCUGUCUCCACCCGAGACUCAGUGAAAUUGAACUCGCUGUGAAGAUGCAGUGUACCCGCGGCAAGACGGAAAGACCCCGUGAACCUUUACUAUAGCUUGACACUGAACAUUGAGCCUUGAUGUGUAGGAUAGGUGGGAGGCUUUGAAGCGUGGACGCCAGUCUGCGUGGAGCCAACCUUGAAAUACCACCCUUUAAUGUUUGAUGUUCUAACGUUGGCCCCUGACCGGGGUUGCGGACAGUGUCUGGUGGGUAGUUUGACUGGGGCGGUCUCCUCCCAAAGCGUAACGGAGGAGCACGAAGGUUAGCUAAUCCUGGUCGGACAUCAGGAGGUUAGUGCAAUGGCAUAAGCUAGCUUGACUGCGAGCGUGACGGCGCGAGCAGGUGCGAAAGCAGGUCAUAGUGAUCCGGUGGUUCUGAAUGGAAGGGCCAUCGCUCAACGGAUAAAAGGUACUCCGGGGAUAACAGGCUGAUACCGCCCAAGAGUUCAUAUCGACGGCGGUGUUUGGCACCUCGAUGUCGGCUCAUCACAUCCUGGGGCUGAAGUAGGUCCCAAGGGUAUGGCUGUUCGCCAUUUAAAGUGGUACGCGAGCUGGGUUUAGAACGUCGUGAGACAGUUCGGUCCCUAUCUGCCGUGGGCGCUGGAGAAUUGAGGGGGGCUGCUCCUAGUACGAGAGGACCGGAGUGGACGCAUCACUGGUGUUCGGGUUGUCAUGCCAAUGGCACUGCCCGGUAGCUAAAUGCGGAAGAGAUAAGUGCUGAAAGCAUCUAAGCACGAAACUUGCCCCGAGAUGAGUUCUCCCUGAGACUUUAAGUCUCCUGAAGGAACGUUNAAGACGAUGACGUUGAUAGGCCGGGUGUGUAAGCGCAGCGAUGCGUUGAGCUAACCGGUACUAAUGAACCGUGAGGCUUAACCUU
rnacentral:rRNA from 1 species